AUUGAACGCUGGCGGCAGGCUUAACACAUGCAAGUCGAGCGGGGUGAUGGUGCUUGCACUAUCACUUAGCGGCGGACGGGCGAGUAAUGCUUAGGAAUCUGCCUAUUAGUGGGGGACAACAUCUCGAAAGGGAUGCUAAUACCGCAUACGUCCUACGGGAGAAAGCAGGGGAUCACUUGUGACCUUGCGCUAAUAGAUGAGCCUAAGUCGGAUUAGCUAGUUGGUGGGGUAAAGGCCUACCAAGGCGACGAUCUGUAGCGGGUCUGAGAGGAUGAUCCGCCACACUGGGACUGAGACACGGCCCAGACUGCUACGGGAGGCAGCAGUGGGGAAUAUUGGACAAUGGGGGGAACCCUGAUCCAGCCAUGCCGCGUGUGUGAAGAAGGCCUUAUGGUUGUAAAGCACUGUAAGCGAGGAGGAGGCUCUUUUGGUUAAUACCCAAGAUGAGUGGACGUUACUCGCAGAAUAAGCACCGGCUAACUCUGUGCCAGCAGCCGCCGUAA
rnacentral:rRNA from 1 species